AAGAUGCAUUAUCAUGGCUGUAAACACAGGUUCUGCACGUGUCUAAGUUCAGCCCCAAACCCACAUGAAGAACUUAUUUCCAGACAGCUCCUACUCUUAUGGUGGCUCCAGACCCUGCCCCAUGCAGAAGGCACUUCUCAAGUUCCAGGACCAGGGCUUCAGCCACAGCACUCGGGUGUAGAGGCAAGCACUGAAGGCCCAUGAUCAGCCGUGGGAGCCACGGGAAUCAAUUGCUUCCAGUACGACUGGAUGCAUCGGAAAGAGCCUGGGGCAAGGCUGGAGGCCACAAGAGGAGCUGCCAGGCCACAUAAGCAGGGAACAAAGCCGAUGAUCACACGCCCAUCAGUGAGCCAACUUGGUGAAGGGAAAUGCCCAAGUUCUCAGCACCUGCAGAGCCUAAGACAUAACAAGCAGCAUGCCCUGACGCUCACCAAGGCCAGGUGCUGUGGUGAGUGCUCUACCUGUUUCUGUACAGAAGAGAAAUCAGAAUGCCAGAGACAUGAAGAAACUUCUCCAGGGUCAUGUAAUCACCAAAUAAUGUCUGCUUCGACCAUCUCUGCAUUUUGUGCUACACCAAGAUUUAAGCAGCUGUUCAAAGGAACUGUAGAACAGAUGUCACAGAUGUAACUAUUCUUGAAAGGAAGUCAGAUUUCAUAGAUGGAAAGACUGCCCUUUUCCAUUUGCCUCCUCCAGACCCAUAACUUUGGAUAGGGGGGUUUUAUUGUCCGUGAGGCUUAUGCAUAUGUCAGAAGAAUGUCCAAGCAGAGGAAUCUAAGUGGCAGACCCCCCAGGAUAGGAAAGAAGAAGGACGCUCGUGCUGACACUUCCAGAACACUCUUCACGUUUUGUGACAUAUGUGCUUGUCGAGUGAUCUUAAGACAGCUGGAUGUCCGAACCAUGCAGUAAUAGCAGAGAACCUGCGGAAGGAGAAGCUUCCCAGGACGUUCUGAGGGCUUAUGCCGGGUGCAGGCUUUCCUUCCCGCAACAUCCCUGAGUCCAGAGAAGAAAUAAUCCCCUGCCCUGUGGGCCAAGCACUUACAGCAACAGCACUUUGAGUUUGCUGUGCUUAGAUUCACUUGUGGAACUUGUUAAAAAUAUAAAAUUCCAGACCCCACCUCC
rnacentral:lncRNA from 1 species